GGAGGUGUCGCAUAGUGGUCUAUUGCACACGCCUGGAAAGCGUGAGCUCGCAAGGGCUUCGUGGGUUCGAAUCCCACCUCCUCCG
rnacentral:tRNA from 1 species